AAAUCCAUAAUAUUUAAGUCCAUUUGGUCCAUCAAUGAUUUUUCAUCUUUCCAUUACCAUUCUAAACGAUAAUAGAUUAGUUUUCGUUCUUUUCUUUUGAGAUCGAAAUUUUCUCUUUCACUCUCUCAAACAACAGAUACCACCACCACUACCACCUCUAUCACCACCACCAGCCAUAACCUCCGCCACCACCAUCUCUGCCACCAUCGUCAAUUCGAACAUGUUUUAGUAACGAAAUUUCAUUUGAGAAAAAGAGUUUCCAGUGGAAUAAUCGAGAGAGGAAUAAAAUUCUGGUUGGAAAUUAGUCGAAGAAUCAACUGAGAUCGAGAUAAAAUCAUUAUCAUCAACAGUCCAUCAUUAAGAUUCAAGAAAGAUCUUUUCUUAGGAUUCAAUUUCUGGUACUAAUAUUGUUGAUUGGUAAAGUAGAAUUGGAGUCGGAUGCGCUGUUGGUGGUGCAAUUGGCAAUUGUGGAGACGGAGUUUGAGGUGGUGCUGGUGGAAGUGGAAGAUUAGGUUUUAGAGUAUGAUAUGCUUUUGUGUUGGUGAUGGAAUUGGUGGACUUCGUAGUGGUGGACAAGAAUUCAGUUUCUCAUAUUGCUUAUUGUGUAUAUUUAAUUUGAUCUUCUCUUGCAAGUCUUCACAUAUUUAUUUAUUUUCCAUUUACAUAUUUUGGUGUUUCGUAAACCAUUGAUCAAAAUAAACUACCCCAAGUGAUGACAAUGCUUGUCAAUUACGGAUUCAGAGGAAUGCAGAUACAGUUUUUGAAGUAGUUUUGUUUCCAGAGUCAUUUCUAUUUACAUGGCAGGAAAUUAGAGAUAUUGUUAUAUCUUCAAUUGAAUUAGAGAUAUUAGUAUGACCAGGCAAUCUUUUUUAAUUGGGGUUACGUCCACGAUAUGUUCUUAUGUUAUUUUGAGGGGGUGUCUUAGAAUGCGAGUGAAAAUCGGAAGUGUUUCAAUUAUUAGAGAUAGCAAGAAUAGACUUCUUUAGACCGUAAGUGAGGUUAGCACUGUUUAUUCCAGUUUAAUUUUGAUGAUAACUAAAGCAAGCAGAUUAAUACGAGGAUUGCACUAAGCCUUCAGUUAUCACACCUUCCCCUCAUUAAAUCUAUCUACGAAAUGUACACAUUUGUCAAUUAUACUUCAAUUAUUUAUAUAAUUAAAUCUUUGUGGUACUAAAUUUCGGUUUAAUUUCUUGUAUGUAUCUAAUUGUUGAAUGCAGUUCUUAAGGCACUGGUACUAAUACUACCUUGAUUAAUGAAUUUUGGUGGCUUAUUAUCUCAGAUAAGGAAACAGAGAUAUUGAGUUUGAUGGAGGAAAAUGGAGGAUAUAAUUUCAACCAACUGGUUUUUCUGACAACUUGAUUAUUUUUUAUGUAGGCUUAAGAAGGUUGCAAAAGAAAACCUUGAUACUGUUGUGGCUAUUGUUACGAGUGGCAGCGGCGGAGGUGGAAAUGGCGGCGGCAGAUGGUGGCGGGGGCGGAUUGAUGGUGACGGCGGUAGACUGGCGAUGAUGGUGGCGGUGGUGGCGUCAGUAGUGGUGGCGAACUGGUGGUGGUGGUACAGUAGCGACGGUGGCGACGGACUGGUGGUGGUGGUGGUGGUUGGUAGGUGGUGGUCGUUGGUGGUGGUGGUGGUCGUGUGGUGGUGUUAGUGGUGGUGGAAUGUUGGUGGUGGUGCGGGUGAAAUGGUAGAGGAAGAAAUUUGUUCCAUUUUGAAAUAAAAAAAAUAAAUGAAAACUUAACUGCCAUACUUCAAACUGUAGUUACUUUGUUGGGCAAGGCUUUCAUAUAAGCUUCAUUUCAAUGUCCCUUGUGUUUGGUUGGUAUUUUCAGUCAAGAGUAGCUGCAAACUUUAACCAAUAGUUACUUUGUUGGGCAGGGUCCAAUAUAAGCUUCAUUGCAAUCUUUCCUGUGUAAUCUUUGAUUGGUCCGCUUUGAAAACAUGCAUUUGAUCCAGUUCCAGUUGAUCAACCUUUUGUGAAGUGGAAAUCUAUUGCAAGGCAUUAAUCAUGCAUUUGGUCCUUAUUUCAUUA